rnacentral:rRNA from 1 species
AAAAUGACUCUCGGCAACGGAUGUCUCGGCUCUCGCAUCGAUGAAGAACGUAGCGAAAUGCGAUACUUGGUGUGAAUUGCAGAAUCCCGUGAACCAUCGAGUCUUUGAACGCAAGUUGCGCCCGAAGCCUUUAGGCCGAGGGCACGCCUGCCUGGGCGUCACA